rnacentral:rRNA from 1 species
AUCGAACGCUGGCGGCAUGCCUUACACAUGCAAGUCGAACGGCAGCGGGGGAGAAGCUUGCUUUUCCUGCCGGCGAGUGGCGAACGGGUGAGUAAUACAUCGGAACGUGCCCUGUAGUGGGGGAUAACUAGUAGAAAGAUUAGUUAAUACCGCAUACGACCUGAGGGUGAAAGUGGGGGACCGCAAGGCCUCAUUCUAUAGGAGCGGCAGAUGUCUGAUGAGCUAGUUGGUGGGGUAAAGGCCUACCAAGGCGAAGAUCAGUAGCUGGUCUGAGAGGACGAUCAGCCACACUGGGACUGAGACACGGCCCAGACUCCUACGGGAGGCAGCAGUGGGGAAUUUUGGACAAUGGGCGAAAGCCUGAUCCAGCAAUGCCGCGUGUGUGAAGAAGGCCUUCGGGUUGUAAAGCACUUUUGUCCGGAAAGAAAUGGCCUUGGUUAAUACCUGGGGUCUAUGACGGUACCGGAAGAAUAAGGACCGGCUAACUACGUGCCAGCCGCCGCCGUAA